AAAAAAAAAUAAAAAAAAAAAAACAAAAAAAAAACAAAAACAGCAAGUUUUAUUGAGAGUUGUAACUCAUCUGUCUUCAUGAUUUUCCAAAUUUUUCAUUACAGUGGAUCUCUAUAAAUAGGGUGGUAGCCAAAUCCUUUUAAGCGGUAUCUCCAUCCGAUACGGACUUUCAAAACUUUCAGAAGCAUCGAUUAGCACCGUGUGUGACACAGAGAUGAUACAGGAAUUACAUCCGUGGGUGGACGGCAUAUAUAGCUUUUAUUGACCACGAAAGACCAUAUAUUUUUACUUAUAACAUCUACACCCACAGAAGGAGGGGCAUCAUCCUUGCGUCUACCUUUCAAACUCCAUUCCUCAGAUACUCAACAAACCUAGUGAUGUAGUUCUGAUGCAGCUUCCUAUCCCCAAAAAUGGCAGCAGCUAUUUUUGCUUGAUGCCUCAACUGCUUCCCUUCUUCUGAAACCAUAGCUAGUCUCAGAGAUCUAUCAAUAUCAUUUCUAGUAAAUGAUCCAUCGUCCUUCCUGUCCACCUCCACGGCCAAACCUUUCUCUACCAGUAACCUGGCAUUGACCCCUUGGUCAAUAAUGAAGGGCAGAGCAAUUAGACAAAGCCCAUGAUGCAGAGUUUCUAUGAUUGAACCCCACCCAGAGUGAAACAAUGAUCCCCCUAUUGAUGGAUGUGCUAGAAUUUCUUGCUGAGGUGCCCAUCCUAUGCAGACAAUUCCUUUCUUGGAUGUCCUGUCACUGAAUCCUGGAGGCAGAAUAAAAUCUUCGAUAGCCCAGCUAGGUUUUCUAAGUGCCCACAGAAAUGGCAAUUCGGAAAGCUCCAGCCCAUAUGCUAUCUCGUAGACUUGAUCUUUGGUAAGUUUACACUCGCUGCCGAACCCAACAAACACAACUGAUUUGUGUUCUUGAUUAUCAAGCCAUUCAAAGGUCUUCCUCCAGGUUCCAUCAGUGAUUUCUAUUUUUUCAGGUUUUUCUGGAGGGAGCAAACCUAGUGGAAUCACUGGCUUCCCAAGAAUUUUCUCAAAUAUUUUCAGGUACUCGCCUUCAAAUUCAGUGCAGCUACGGACAACCGCAGCUUGGCAAGCUGACAUUGUCUUAGCAAUCCGUUCAGCGUCACUUACGCCCGAUGCAUUCUCACCGUAGAAGCCAGAAAAAAAGUUGCGAGCCUCAUAGCUUCGAAAAGCUACGGAAGAGGGGAAAGUUAUCCAUUCUGGUGGUGAAGUUAGACUUUCUGGCGUUGCUCUGAAUCUCUUUCGGCCAUCACCGUCUAAAUAUUCUGGUGGUCCUAUAAAGGCUCUCAUAGCCCCAGAGAAAACAGACAGAUAUAGGAGUGGGAUACCAAAUUCUUUAGCAAUAUCAGCAGCCCAGUAAUGGCAAAAGUCAACGACUAACCAAUUGGGCCUUUUCUCAGCGACAAACUUCUUAAAGGGAUGUUGCAAGAGAUCAUAGGCGACUUUCAGGUACUGAAUCUUCUCGGAGGAGAUGUCUAUUGUGGCCUCAGCUCCUUCGGGCAAGCGACAUUCACCAUCCAGAGUAGGCAUUGGAAGCUCCACCAAGUUUAUUACAUGCGUUAAACUUGGUGAAAGUUUAGGGAGUCUCUGAAUAUUCCCUGGGGUUGAUACAAACGAGACGUGAACUCCAGCUUUGGCUAAUGCAAUGGAGAAUUGGAAAAACGGCAUUAUAUGGCCAAAGGCAGACCAUGGAAGGAUUGCCACAUGCAAAUCAGCUGCCAUAGCUAAUCGUUGAAUCUUUCGGAAAAAGCUGAAGAGGCCAAUACCUGAAAUGAGAAUAAUGGGCAACUACAAGAGAAUAUAUUAUCACUGUAUGAUGGGUAGAAAUAAUUUGUGUGUUACUAUUAAGGCUUUCGUAUGUGGUGACGCCAACACAUAACAUUUUUAAAUCUUCCGGCUGGAAGGGUUCCUAGCGGCUUCCUUGCUUGGUUAACAUUUUUUUCAGUUUGGGGUUAGUUGAGAUGUCUAUUUC
rnacentral:misc_RNA from 1 species